rnacentral:rRNA from 1 species
GUCUUUUUGAUAAUAAUUUAAAGUCUCGCCUGCCCACUGAUUAAUUGAAUGGCCGCGGUAUUUUGACCGUGCAAAGGUAGCAUAAUCAUUAGUUUUUUAAUUGAAAGCUGGAAUGAAUGGUUGGAUAAGAAAAAUUCUGUCUCAAUUUAAAUUUUUUAGAAUUUUAUUUUUAAGUUAAAAAGCUUAAAUAAUUUUAAAAGACGAGAAGACCCUAUAGAGUUUAAUAAUUUUUAAUAAAAAGUAUUUUUAGUAUAUAUAAUUAAAUUUAUUUAAAAUUAUUUGGUUGGGGUGAUUUAAAAAUUUAAUUAACUUUUUAUAAAAUAAUACAUUAAUUUAUGAAUAAAUGAUCCAUGAUUUAUGAUUAUAAGAAUAAAUUACCUUAGGGAUAACAGCGUAAUUUUUUCAAAGAGUUCUUAUCGAAGAAAAAGAUUGCGACCUCGAUGUUGGAUUAAAAUUAAUAUUUGGUGAAGAAGCUAAAUUAUUUGGUCUGUUCGACCAUUAAAAUUUUACA